rnacentral:rRNA from 1 species
CCUACGUGUGGCAGCAGUGGGGCAUAUUGCACAAUGGGGGAAACCCUGAUGCAGCGACGCCGCGUGAGUGAAGAAGUAAUUCGUUAUGUAAAGCUCUAUCAGCAGGGAAGAAAAUGACGGUACCUGAGUAAGUAGCCCCGGCUAACUACGUGCCAGCAGCCGCGGUAAUACGUAGGGUGCGAGCGUUAAUCGGAAUGACUGGGGGUAAAGCGCUCGUAGGCGGUAUGACAAGUAAAGGGUGAAAUGCCCGCGCUCAACGUGGGAACUGCCUUUGAAACUGGCAAACUGGAGUGUGUGAGAGGAUAGUGGAAUUCCAGGUGUAGGAGUGAAAUCCGUAGAUAGCUGGAGGAACAUCAGUGGCGAAGGCGACUAUCUGGCACAUAACUGACGCUGAGGAGCGAAAGCGUGGGUAGCAAACAGGAUUAGAUACCCCAGUAGUC